UCAGAUUGAACGCUGGCGGCAGGCCUAACACAUGCAAGUCGAACGGUAACAGRAAGCAGCUUGCUGCUUUGCUGACGAGUGGCGGACGGGUGAGUAAUGUCUGGGAAACUGCCUGAUGGAGGGGGAUAACUACUGGAAACGGUAGCUAAUACCGCAUAACGUCGCAAGACCAAAGAGGGGGACCUUCGGGCCUCUUGCCAUCGGAUGUGCCCAGAUGGGAUUAGCUAGUAGGUGGGGUAAAGGCUCACCUAGGCGACGAUCCCUAGCUGGUCUGAGAGGAUGACCAGCCACACUGGAACUGAGACACGGUCCAGACUCCUACGGGAGGCAGCAGUGGGGAAUAUUGCACAAUGGGCGCAAGCCUGAUGCAGCCAUGCCGCGUGUAUGAAGAAGGCCUUCGGGUUGUAAAGUACUUUCAGCGGGGAGGAAGGGAGUAAAGUUAAUAC
rnacentral:rRNA from 1 species